rnacentral:rRNA from 1 species
UACGUAGGGACCAAGCGUUGUUCGGAUUUACUGGGCGUAAGGGGCUCGUAGGCGGCCAACUAAGUCAGACGUGAAAUCCCUCGGCUUAACCGGGGAACUGCAUCUGAUACUGGAUGGCUUGAGUUCGGGAGAGGGAUGCGGAAUUCCAGGUGUAGCGGUGAAAUGCGUAGAUAUCUGGAGGAACACCGGUGGCGAAGGCGGCAUCCUGGACCGGCACUGACGCUGAGGAGCGAAAGCCAGGGGAGCAAACGGG